UACAGAGGCCUCGAGCGUUUAGGCGGAAUCACUGGGCUUAAAGCGUGUGUAGGCGGACCCCUAAGUGCCUUGUGAAAUCCCACGGCUCACCCGUGGAACGGCUGGGCAUACUGGGGGUCUUGAGCCACCUAGGGGCUACCGGAACAAAUGGUGGAGCGGUGAAAUGCGUAGAUAUCACUUGGAACGCCAAUGGUGAAAACAGCUCGCUGGGGGUGUGCUGACG
rnacentral:rRNA from 1 species